GUUUGAAUAGUGUGAAAGCCCUGCUGUAUGUUUUGUUUGUAUUGUGUGAAAGUGCCAACUGAGACAAUGUCCUGCUAUGCUGCAUGAUGACGUCUAGUCCAGUAUGAGUUGUUGAAAUGUUGGAGUGAUGGUGGCUGUGGGUGCUGCUGACGGGAGUGCUUGAUGAAACUCCUGAAAUUUAAAGCGAGACAAACUGUCAGCAGCUGUGUUAUAUAUACCUGGCACAUGGAAACAACAUAGGAAGAAAUUAUGACAAGCUGCCAACCAAGUGAGUUUCCUCAGAAAUCUCAUAAUCGUAAGAGAUUUGGAACGACCUUUGUUGAUGAUGUGACAGGUUGCCUGGUUGUCUGAGUAACAACGCACUGGCGUAUUAGCC